rnacentral:rRNA from 1 species
GAUGAACGCUAGCGGCAGGCCUAAUACAUGCAAGUCGAGGGGCAGCACGGUAGCAAUACUGGUGGCGACCGGCAAACGGGUGCGGAACACGUACGCAACCUUCCUUUAAGAGAUGAAUAGCCCGAAGAAAUUCGGAUUAAUGCAUCGUAAGAUUGUGGGAUGGCAUCAUCCAGCAAAUUAAAGUAUUUAUUUCGCUUAAAGAUGGGCGUGCGCCUGAUUAGGAGUUGGUGAGGUAACGGCUCACCAAGCCGACGAUCAGUAACUGGCGUGAGAGCGCGACCAGUCACACGGGCACUGAGACACGGGCCCGACUCCUACGGGAGGCA